rnacentral:lncRNA from 1 species
UCUUUCUCAACAUGGAAAGGUCCAAUUUCCUCAGUUAAUCCAUAUGCAAUAGAUGAACAUCCAGGCCUUGAACAUAGCUAAAGAGUCAGAAACAAGUUUCCACGUUGGCUACAAAUUACAUCUCGCCAAAAUAAAUUACAAUGGAAAUAACAUAAAUGGAGAGAACUCCGCAGUAUCAAAUUUGAUAACUAACUAAAAAGAGAAAAGGAGUACAAAUCCAAGAUGGAGUUUAUAUAAGUUAUUGAAGUUUAUAAUUGAGAAUAGGGAAGAAAUAAAUAGCACUAUAUUUCUUGAAAUAAUUUCAUAGCUAAUGAUAAAACGUUUUAGAAAUUUCAACUAAUAAUAUUGGCCCAGAAUGAUCAUCAGGAUGCUCUUUUAGCUUAGAAAUAAUAUCACAAUUUCAUGAGCAAAAUCACAUGAUUCUAUGUACGUAUCUCCCAAUAUCAUAACAAAUUUUAAGUACUCUAAAACAAAGUCAAAGGAAGGGGAAAAAAUGAAUUGCACAUUCCUGGAGGCUAAUAGUAAUGAAUUAACAUUAACAAAAUAAAAAAUUAAAGUUUUGAACAAAUUUGAUUUAAAAGAGGAAGGGUCAGACUAAAUUGACCUCCAUUGAGCCAAAGAACAAUAGGCUUGGAAGAAGGGUCCUCGUCGGCCUCAAAGAACCAAUAAAAUAGUGCUUUCCCGGAUUCCCUAUUAACUGUAACAUGGCCUGCAUAAUGUGCAAAACUCACAUUAAAAUUCUACCCUGGAAGCUCCCAGACUCUAUCUAGUUGCUGCUGGGCAUAUGGGAAGAAAUUGGGAGUGAGUGAGAACAC